AUCUCACCCUCUCACCUCCCUUUCCUCUCGUUUCUUCGUCCCUGAUCACUUUAUUGAUGAGGUUUUAUUUAGUGAUUUCGGUGCGUUUAUGAGUGGAUCUGGUAAUUGGUUUUGUCAUCAGAGAGUAUCUCGAUUUUCCGUUCGAUUCUCCCAUCAAGAUAAAUUUCUUCUCUAUAUAUCUCUUCUGAGAUAUUGAGUAGAUUAGUCGAAAGCUGAGAAGCAGGAACAAUUAGAGCUCUUGGAAUCGGCAGUAAAUGCUGCUAAUGACUCUUGGGUUUUGAGGUGAUAUGGUAC